GAAAGGAUUCAAACCCCCCAGGGAGUUGGUCGGAGGGUUAAGGGAGAGACGGGCGUGACAAUCUGGAGGGAGAGUAAAAGCCAACUAGGGGAUAAGAGGCGGGACUUCCUGCUUUGUCCACCUUCCUAGUCUUUUGUUUCGUAGCAACAGAGGGUGGGAGGUUGUGAGUGGCACUUGAGCCUAGGUUAGAGUGGAAAACGCUGCAGAAAUGCUUACUGAGGCAGUCAGGACACUUCUUGCUUUAGUCCUGGGUCUGAGGCGUUAGUUUUGUAGUGGUCAGUGUGAGGAAGAGAUGGAGCUGGAGUGGGACCCACAUCUGGGGAUACCAGCUGGGAUGAAGUGCCUUGCCUGGAAGAUAAUUGCCUACAAAUGAUCCAAAGAAACCAACUAUUGGUUGACUAACUGGUGAUUAAUUUAAAGGUGAGGAAAAUUUGUUUCAAUAUUUAUAUGUGGACAUUUUCCACCAGCAAACUUAAGUAAUAAAAAAUCCUAACAGAGC
rnacentral:lncRNA from 1 species